GGAGUGGCUCAGUGGUAGAGUGCUUGCCUUGCAUGCAUGAGGCCCUGGGUUCAAUUCCUCAGCACC
rnacentral:tRNA from 1 species